AUUGAACGCUGGCGGCAUGCUUUACACAUGCAAGUCGAACGGCAGCACGGACUUCGGUCUGGUGGCGAGUGGCGAACGGGUGAGUAAUACAUCGGAACGUACCCAGUAAUGGGGGAUAACUAUCCGAAAGGAUAGCUAAUACCGCAUACGCCCUACGGGGGAAAGAGGGGGAUCUUAGGACCUCUUGUUAUUGGAGCGGCCGAUGGCUGAUUAGCUAGUUGGUGAGGUAAAGGCUCACCAAGGCGACGAUCAGUAGCGGGUCUUAGAGGACGAUCCGCCACACUGGAACUGAGACACGGUCCAGACUCCUACGGGAGGCAGCAGUGGGGAAUCUUGGACAAUGGGCGCAAGCCUGAUCCAGCAAUGCCGCGUGCGUGAAGAAGGCCUUCGGGUUGUAAAGCGCUUUUGUCAGGGAGCAAAUCCUUGUGGCUAAUACCCACCGGGGAUGAGAGUACCUGAAGAAUAAGGACCGGCUAACUACGUGCCAGCCGCCGCGGUAAGAC
rnacentral:rRNA from 1 species